AGAGUUUGAUCCUGGCUCAGAACGAACGCUGGCGGCGUGCCUAACACAUGCAAGUCGCACGAGAAAUCCUGGGCAACUGGGAAAGUAAAGUGGCGCACGGGUGAGUAACGCGUGGGUAACCUGCCCUUAAAUUGGGGAUAACACCGCGAAAGCGGUGCUAAUACCGAAUGAUAUUUUGAUUCCCUUGGGGAUUGAAAUCAAAGAUGGCCUCUGCAUGCAAGCUAUUGUUUAAGGAUGGGCCCGCGUACCAUUAGCUUGUUGGUGGGGUAAUGGCCUACCAAGGCAACGAUGGUUAGCUGGUCUAAGAGGAUGGUCAGCCACACUGGAACUGAGACACGGUCCAGACUCCUACGGGAGGCAGCAGUGAGGAAUAUUGGGCAAUGCCCGAAAGGGUGACCCAGCAACGCCGCGUGGAGGAUGAAAGCCGUAAGGUUGUAAACUCCUUUUGAAGAGGAAGAACAUUUUCGAUCGAAUCGAAAACUGACUGUACUCUUAGAAGAAGCCCCGGCUAACUACGUACCAGCAGCCGCGGUAAUACGUAGGGGGCAAGCGUUGUCCGGAUUUACUGGGUGUAAAGGGCGCGUAGGCGGGUUUGUAAGUUAGAGGUGAAAUCCUGCAGCUUAACUGUAGAACUGCCUCUGAUACUGCAAAUCUUGAGUUCAGAAGAGAGUAGCGGAAUUCCAGGUGUAGUGGUGAAAUACGUAGAUAUCUGGAAGAACACCAGUGGCGAAGGCGGCUACUUGGUCUGCAACUGACGCUGAGGCGCGAAAGCGUGGGGAUCAAACAGGAUUAGAUACCCUGGUAGUCC
rnacentral:rRNA from 1 species